rnacentral:rRNA from 1 species
UACAGAGGGUGCAAGCGUUAAUCGGAAUUACUGGGCGUAAAGCGCGCGUAGGUGGUUUGUUAAGUUGAAUGUGAAAUCCCCGGGCUCAACCUGGGAACUGCAUGCAAAACUGGCAAGCUAGAGUAUGGUAGAGGGUGGUGGAAUUUCCUGUGUAAGCGGUGAAAUGCGUAGAUAUAGGAAGGAACACCAGUGGCGAAGGCGACCACCUGGACUGAUACUGACACUGAGGUGCGAAAGCGUGGGGAGCAAACAGG